GUUCAAAUGAUUCUCCUGUCUCAGCCUCCCAAGUAGCAGACACCACAGCAGCACUGGUCAGUGAUGGAUUGGAAGAAAACUCGCCCUUCACGACGGAAGGUUUGAGGAGCACAGCUUUACUCCUUCCUGCUGGGUUCAUCCUUCCUAAGCAUCCUUGUUUUGUGAAUUAUUCCCUUACUCAACGAUUUUAAUGUCUUCUCGUUUUCCAUUGUAUCACGUUGUAUUAGUCCGUUCUCAUGCUGCUAGGAAGAAAUACCUGAGACUGGGUAAUUUAUAAAGAAAAGAGGUUUAAUUGACUCAAAUUCCGCGGGGCUGGGGAGACCUCAGGAAACUUACAAUCAUGGCAGAAGGCACCUGUUCACAGGGCUGCAGGAGAGAGGAUGAGUGCCAGCAGGGGAAAUGCCAGGUGCUUAUAAAACCAUCAGAUCUCACUCACUAUCAUGAAAACAGCUUAGGGGAAACCACCCCCAUGAUUCAAUUACCUCCCACAGGGUCCCUCUUGUGACACUUGGGGAUUACGGGGAUUACAAUUCAAGGUGUGAUUUUGGUGGGGACACAGCCAAACCAUAUCCCAUGUCUAAACUCGCUGUGGAGUUUCUAGUGAAUUUAACUUCAGCCCAGCUGUCCAGCCUUCUUCUUAAUUCAGCUCACCAGGCUCUCCAGGGCCUUUGCUUAGGUGGAGAGGUCCGCGCAUGCAUGCACACAGCGUCUCCCACUCCUUUCUUAGGUUCCUGAGCCAACCCCGCCCCAGAUGCCGAUCCCUCUCUGUGACCCAUCCAAAUGGAACCAUUGCUUCAACGUCCACUUCAGGUUUUUUCUCCUACGGAAGCUUCCUGCUCAUCCCAAACCUUACUGGUCUUCCGGUCAGCUCAGUUCCCACGGUGGUCACCAUGACAACAGGUCAGCACAGGCAGCUUGCAUGGGCCGAGGGCCUCAUGUGCCCCGCCCCUGUGGUCUCUGGGCAGCAUCUCCGGUACUUCUCACGCCAGCCUACGAGGUAGCUGCUAUUUUCACCUCCAUUUUAUGGAUGAGGAAACUGAGACACAAGAUGUUAAGUCUCAUGCCAUUGGUCAAAGAGGCUGUAAGGGGUGUGGAGGGGAUCACAGCAGUCUUGACUGUUUUUUUGAUUUCUCUGCGAGGUAGCUAAUAGGAACUCUAGUUUACAGAGGAGGACAUUUAAAGUUCGAUGCCCUGGGCCACAGGCUGGGGAAGCAUUGAUUUGAACCCAGGUCACUUGUGUUAGUGUCCUUAGGCUGUGGUAACAAAUCACUACAAUCCAGGUGGCUUCAUACAGCAGAUUUAUCAUCUCACGGUGCUGGAGGCCAGAAGUCUGAAAUCAAGGUGUUGGCAGGGUUGGUUCCAUCUGGUGGCUCAGCGAGAGAAUCUGUUCCACGCUUCUCCCUCUUGGAACAGCUUCUGGUGGCUGCCAGCAAGCCUCAGCAUUCCUGGCCUUGUAGCUGAUUCACACCCAUCUCUGUGUCUGUGUUCACAGAGGUCUCCCUCUGUGACGAUCUGUGCCUAAACUCCCUCUCCUUUUCGUUUAUAAGGAAUGCAUUUAGGGCCCACUCUAAACAGAGUGAUCUCAUCCUCGAGAUCCUUAAUUACAUCUGCAAAGACCCUAUUUCCAAGUAAUGUCACACUCACAAGCCAUGGAAGUUAGGACUUGAACGUAUCUUUCUGGAGGGUGUUACUCAAUUUACAUCAGUCUCGCUAUCAAGUCCACAUCCUUUCCACACUGUGCUGUUGUGCAAUCACUUUGUGCCAUUAAGUUUCCUAUUUGAUCACAUACUCUCUAUGCGUAGACUCAGUGUUUGACAGGCUCAGGAUUUAUUUAAGCUGUUGUAGUUAAGAACCAUGCUUUAUCCAUCAUCGGCAGUCCCUCAGUGCGAUAAGGCAUCCUCGGAUGGGAGAACCUUCCAGAAUUCUCCAUCACAGCAAGUAGACAGUUAGGUAACAUCAUCUAUGGAUAAAGCCAUUCUUAUGUGUAGGCAAAAGAAAAUGUAUUCCUCCACACAAAAAAGGAUGCCUAUUGGGAGUACCGGGAAGGAACUAAUAAUUAUUUAGCUUCCACUACAUGCUAGGCCCUGUCAUGCAUUUUGCUUUAUUCUUAUUUAAUUAACAUUUUGUCCAUUAAAGUUCAGAGCAGCAAGAAAAGAAAUGAAGUACCCCAAAUAGCUAAAUUGUAGUUGGUUUGGGCAUAGCAGGUUAGGCUAGCAAGAUGGAAGAAAACAACUUUUGUGAUUCAUUAUGAAAAACAAUUAUUGAAAAAUAAUUGAAUCUUAAGGUAUUGUGGGUCUUACUAAUUGAAUAUGCUUUCAUUGAAAAGACAAAAACCCAGUGCUGUGAGAGAACCUUUGUUUUUGUAUUGCCAUUCACCGGA
rnacentral:lncRNA from 1 species